rnacentral:misc_RNA from 1 species
AUAAAUAAAUAAAUAAAUAAGCAAAGAGUGGACAGGUAUGAGGAACUCCUCAGAAACUUCUACUUCUGUUGUGCAAUUGGUAUACAAAAGGACAAAUAGCAAAACGUGUUUAAAGCUGGAGCUUGGAAUUUUCCAGGUUCACAUUGGGAAAAAAACCAGCUUCAUGCUUUAUAGAUCCCAUGAAAUUCUUCAACUUUGGCUACUAGCUAAAAGAAUAGUGAAUAGUACACUGAAUACAAGGACGGAUGUCGCAAUGGGAUUUUGCGGUCG